rnacentral:rRNA from 1 species
GACGGACGCUGGCGGCGUGCUUAACACAUGCAAGUCGAACGGUUAAGCGCCUUCCGUUGUGGUGGGGGUGGAUGAGUGGUGCACGGGUGAGUAACACGGGAGGAACCUGCCCCCUUCUUCUGGAUAACCGCAUGAAAGUGUGGCGGAUACGGGAUAGUCUGGGUCUGGCUCAUGAUGGGUCUAGGAGAGGUGUUGUUUCGGUGGGGGAUGGGAUCUCGGCCUAUCAGCUUGUUGGUGGGGUGAUGGCCUACCAAGGCGGUGACGGGUAGCCGGCCUGAGAGGCUGGACGGUUACACUGUGUCUGAGACACGGCCCAGAGUCCUACGGGAGGCAGCAGUGCGGAAUCUCGCACAAUGCGCGACCGCCCGAUGCAGCGCCGCCGCGUGAGGGAUGGACCCCUUCGGGGUGUGAAGCUCUCUCGCGAGUGAAGGAGGUCUGCCUCGUGUGUGGGUGGGUUGACGGUAGCUGGAUAAGAAGCGUGGGCUCCCUAUGUG